UAAUAAUAUCAAUAUUCUUAAAUGUCGGCCCUUGUUCGACUGUUAAUAAAUAUGUGAACAAGUAAACAAUGAACGAGUUGCAGCGAAUUGACAGGUGACUCCAAGCUAUCUUACAGCCGCGGACAAGAAACCGUGACGAUGAAGACAAGUACGUGUCUGCUUGUCCUUCUCACUGUUACAUUCAUAUUAACCGUACAAGGUAAACCAGACUGCUAUUCGCCCCCUGACGUGGGCUACAAGUGUACACGCCUACGCGGAAUUCAACGAUUUAUUCAUCGUCCGAAAACCAAAAGUUACUACAAUCCAAGAACUAAAAAAUGCAUAAAAUUCAGAUACCGAGGAUGUGGAGGAAAUCGCAACAGAUAUUCCAGUUUUAGUUGCUACUUCUUUUGCAAAAUACUGCAUGGAUGAUGGAUCAGGAGCUUUCUAAUAUUAAUGACCCCAAAAAAAAAAGAUAAAAAAAAGAGAGUAAAGAGUCACACUACAAUAUUUAAAUGAAAUACCGCUUAACAUGGUGGUAUCCUCCUGGUAACCUGAACAAUCGAUCUCAACUUAUUUCGAUGCCUGAGUCACUGGUAAAUUUAACAAUACAACAUAAUAUUAUGAACAACAAUGGUGCACUUUUUAUGGAAGUUAUGAUGAGCUUUAUAUUGAAGAUCAUCUCAGUGAACUUCUUGUGUGUAAAAUGUUCAUAGUAAUAAUAAAAAGUAUGUAAUGUCUGUUUGCACUAAAUAUGUAAUGUCUGUUUGCAAUAAAGAUUUAUAGAAAACUGAUCAGUUAACAAUAUGAAGAAUAGUGCUAUUUUGUGCAUUCAUGUUACACUGGGAAUGGAAUAAUAAAAUAUUUGCAGAUUUGU